rnacentral:rRNA from 1 species
UAUAGGGAAGCCGUAGAGAAAUCGAGUCCGAACAGGGCGAUAGUCGCUGGGUGUAGACCCGAAACCAAGUGAUCUACUCAUGGCCAGGAUGAAGGUGCGGUAACACGCACUGGAGGUCCGAACCCACUAAUGUUGAAAAAUUAGGGGAUGAGCUGUGGGUAGGGGUGAAAGGCUAAACAAACUUGGAAAUAGCUGGUUCUCUCCGAAAACUAUUUAGGUAGUGCCUCAAGUAUCACCAUCGGGGGUAGAGCACUGUUAUGGCUAGGGGGUCAUCGCGACUUACCAAACCAUUGCAAACUCCGAAUACCGAUGAGUGCGAGCUUGGGAGACAGACGUCGGGUGCUAACGUCCGGCGUCAAGAGGGAAACAACCCAGACCGCCAGCUAAGGUCCCAAAGAUUGGCUAAGUGGAAAACGAAGUGGGAAGGCUAAAACAGUCAGGAUGUUGGCUUAGAAGCAGCCAUCAUUUAAAGAAAGCGUAAUAGCUCACUGAUCGAGUCGUCCUGCGCGGAAGAUGUAACGGGGCUAAGCCAGUCACCGAAGCUGCGGAUAUGCGUAAGCAUAUGGUAGGAGAGCGUUCUGUAAGCCUGCGAAGGUGUCUUGUAAAGGAUGCUGGAGGUAUCAGAAGUGCGAAUGCUGACAUGAGUAGCGAUAAUGGGGGUGAAAAGCCCCCACGCCGUAAGCCCAAGGUUUCCUGUUCAACGUUCAUCGGAGCAGGGUGAGUCGGCCCCUAAGGCGAGGCAGAGAUGCGUAGCUGAUGGGAAGCAGGUUAAUAUUCCUGCACCGUCGUAUGAUGCGAUGGGGGGACGGAUCGCGGAAGGUUGUCUGCCUGUUGGAAUAGGCAGUUUCUGGUUCAUAGAAGGC